rnacentral:rRNA from 1 species
AGUGAACGCUGGCGGUAGGCCUAACACAUGCAAGUCGAACGGCAGCACAGUAAGAGCUUGCUCUUACGGGUGGCGAGUGGCGGACGGGUGAGGAAUACAUCGGAAUCUACUUUUUCGUGGGGGAUAACGUAGGGAAACUUACGCUAAUACCGCAUACGACCUACGGGUGAAAGCAGGGGAUCUUCGGACCUUGCGCGAUUGAAUGAGCCGACGUCGGAUUAGCUAGUUGGCGGGGUAAAGACCCACCAAGGCGACGAUCCGUAGCUGGUCUGAGAGGAUGAUCAGCCACACUGGAACUGAGACACGGUCCAGACUCCUACGGGAGGCAGCAGUGGGGAAUAUUGGACAAUGGGCGCAAGCCUGAUCCAGCCAUACCGCGUGGGUGAAGAAGGCCUUCGGGUUGUAAAGCCCUUUUGUUGGGAAAGAAAAGCAGCAGGUUAAUACCCCGCUGUUCUGACGGUACCCAAAGAAUAAGCACCGGCUAACUUCGUG